rnacentral:rRNA from 1 species
AGGCAGCAGUGGGGAAUAUUGCACAAUGGGCGCAAGCCUGAUGCAGCCAUGCCGCGUGUAUGAAGAAGGCCUUCGGGUUGUAAAGUACUUUCAGCAGUGAGGAAGGUGGGUAUGUUAAUAGCAUAUUCAUUUGACGUUAGCUGCAGAAGAAGCACCGGCUAACUCCGUGCCAGCAGCCGCGGUAAUACGGAGGGUGCGAGCGUUAAUCGGAAUUACUGGGCGUAAAGCGCAUGCAGGUGGUUUGUUAAGUCAGAUGUGAAAGCCCGGGGCUCAACCUCGGAAUUGCAUUUUGAAAACUGGCAAACUAGAGUACUGUAGAGGGGGUAGGAAUUUCAGGUGUAGCGGUGAAAUGCGUAGAGAUCUGAAGGAAUACCGGUGGCGAAGGCGGCCCCCUGGACCAGAUACUGACACUCAGAUGCGAAAGACGUGGGGAGCAAACAGGAUUAUAUACCCUGGUAG